rnacentral:tRNA from 2 species
CGGGACGUGGCGCAGUUUGGUAGCGCGCUUGCUUUGGGAGCAAGAUGUCGCAGGUUCGAAUCCUGUCGUCCCGACCA